AUGGGCAGCAGAGCAGGGGGUGGGAGAAAUGGGAUGAAACCUGGGCAGGCAACGAGGAGCCGGAGGCGCCAGUGGGAGGAAUGCCCUGGGCCCCCCAACUGUGCCGGGGGACCCCCUGAGCCCUGCACCCCAGCCCCCUGCGAGCGGCUCCUGGCGCGUCCCAGGGGCUCCCCACGCCCCCCUGACCUGGAUCCAUCCCUUUCUCUGCAGCGGGGGCCGCCAGGAGAGCCCGGCCCUCGAGGGCCCCCCGGUCCCCCCGGAGUGCCUGGAGCUGAUGGCAUCGAUGGUGACAAAGGCCCCGCUGGAGCCCCCGGUACCCCGGUGAGUACCCAGCCCUCCCUGACCCCACAUCCAGAGGGGCUCAUCCCAAACCUGACCCCACUCAUCCCAAACCUGACCCCGCUCAUCCCAAACCUGACCCCGCUCAUCCCAAACCUGACCCCGCUCAUCCCAAACCUGACCCCACUCAUCCCAAACCUGACCCCGCUCAUCCCAAACCUGACCCCACUCAUCCCAAACCUGACCCCGCUCAUCCCAAACCUGACCCCACUCAUCCCAAACCUGACCCCGCUCAUCCCAAACCUGACCCCACUCAUCCCAAACCUGACCCCGCUCAUCCCAAACCUGACCCCACUCAUCCCAAACCUGACCCCGCUCAUCCCAAACCUGACCCCACUCAUCCCAAACCUGACCCCGCUCAUCCCAAACCUGACCCCACUCAUCCCAAACCUGACCCCGCUCAUCCCAAACCUGACCCCACUCAUCCCAAACCUGACCCCGCUCAUCCCAAACCUGACCCCACUCAUCCCAAACCUGACCCCGCUCAUCCCAAACCUGACCCCACUCAUCCCAAACCUGACCCCGCUCAUCCCAAACCUGACCCCACUCAUCCCAAACCUGACCCCGCUCAUCCCAAACCUGACCCCACUCAUCCCAAACCUGACCCCGCUCAUCCCAAACCUGACCCCACUCAUCCCAAACCUGACCCCGCUCAUCCCAAACCUGACCCCACUCAUCCCAAACCUGACCCCGCUCAUCCCAAACCUGACCCCACUCAUCCCAAACCUGACCCCGCUCAUCCCAAACCUGACCCCACUCAUCCCAAACCUGACCCCGCUCAUCCCAAACCUGACCCCACUCAUCCCAAACCUGACCCCGCUCAUCCCAAACCUGACCCCACUCAUCCCAAACCUGACCCCGCUCAUCCCAAACCUGACCCCACUCAUCCCAAACCUGACCCCGCUCAUCCCAAACCUGACCCCACUCAUCCCAAACCUGACCCCGCUCAUCCCAAACCUGACCCCACUCAUCCCAAACCUGACCCCGCUCAUCCCAAACCUGACCCCACUCAUCCCAAACCUGACCCCGCUCAUCCCAAACCUGACCCCACUCAUCCCAAACCUGACCCCGCUCAUCCCAAACCUGACCCCACUCAUCCCAAACCUGACCCCGCUCAUCCCAAACCUGACCCCACUCAUCCCAAACCUGACCCCGCUCAUCCCAAACCUGACCCCACUCAUCCCAAACCUGACCCCGCUCAUCCCAAACCCGAUCCCACUCAUCCCAAACCUGACCCCACUCCUUCCAGAGGGGCUCAUCCCACCCUGAUCCCAACUUUCUCCUUCCCAGGGUGUCAAGGGCGAGCCUGGAGCCCCUGGUCUGGAUGGGCCCCCGGGGAAGCCGGGCAUUGAUGUGAGAACUGACUCCUGGCCCCUCGGGGUGCCCCUGCCCUGGGGUCACAGCAAACUCCUCCUGUCCCACACAAAAUCAUCCCCAAACCCCUCUGUGCAGGAGCUGAAAGCACCUUGGGAAUCCCAAAUGGGCUUGGGAAGAGUUUUUGCCACCCUUUUCCACUUUUGGGAUCCCAGCAGAGCUCAGGGAGAGCUUCUGCCAUCCCUUCCCACCUUGGGAAUUCCCAGCAGAGCUUUUUCCAUCCCUUCCCACCUUGGGAAUCCCAAAAGAGUUUGGGAAUUGCUUCUUCCAUGGGGGGGGGGGGGGGGGGGGGGGGGGGGGGGGGGGGGGGGGGGGGGGGGGGGGGGGGGGGGGGGGGGGGGGGGGGGGGGGGGGGGGGGGGGGGCCACCUUGGGAAUCCCAAGGGUUCUUUCUCCCCUUCCCACCUUGGGAAUCCCAAAAGAGUUUGGGAAUUGCUUCUUUCUCCCCUUCCCACCUUGGGAAUCCCAAAGGAGUUCGGUUUUGGGGUGGGUUCCUGCCCCAUCCCAGGGAUAAAACCGGGAUCAGGGAUGGGUGGAGCUCCCCACGUGUCCCUCCAGGGCUGGCUGUGCCCAGGGUGAGGGUCCCAGUGCCAUGAAAUUCCAGCCUUGGCCCCUCCUGAGGGGUUUGACCCAGCACAAAUCCCUGGCUGGGGAGCAGGAGGGGUGGGAAUAACCCUGGGUCUGUUCCUUGCAGGGCCUGACGGGAGCCAAAGGGGAGCCAGGAGCCAUUGGCAGGCCAGGAGUUAAAGUGAGUGAGGGGCAGCCCUGGGCUCCCUCAUUCCCGGGAUCCCACAUCCCCAAAUUCCCACAUCCCCAAAUUCCCACAUCCCCAAAUUCCCACCUUCCCAGAAUCCCACCUUCCCAGGAUCCCACCUUCCCAAAUUUCCACCAUCCCAAUUUCCCACAUUCCCAAUUUC
rnacentral:lncRNA from 1 species